GAUGAACGCUAGCUACAGGCUUAACACAUGCAAGUCGAGGGGUAGCAGGGUAGCAAUACCGCUGACGACCGGCGCACGGGUGAGUAACACGUAUCCAACCUUCCCAUAACUCUGGGAUAGCCUUUCGAAAGAAAGAUUAAUACCGGAUGGCACUUUUUCAAGGCAUCUUGAGAAAGUUAAAGAUUUAUUGGUUAUGGAUGGGGAUGCGUUCCAUUAGAUAGUUGGUGAGGUAACGGCUCACCAAGUCUUCGAUGGAUAGGGGUUCUGAGAGGAAGGUCCCCCACAUUGGUACUGAGACACGGACCAAACUCCUACGGGAGGCAGCAGUGAGGAAUAUUGGUCAAUGGGCGAGAGCCUGAACCAGCCAAGUCGCGUGCAGGAAGAAUGUCCUAUGGAUUGUAAACUGCUUUUGCAGGGGAAUAAAGUUCAGCACGUGUGCUGUUUUGUAUGUACUCUGCGAAUAAGGAUCGGCUAACUCCGUGCCAGCAGCCGCGGUAAA
rnacentral:rRNA from 1 species